CGCGUGAGAAUCUGCCUUCAGGUCUGGGACAACAGAAGGAAACUUNUGCUAAUCCGGGAUGAGCCUUUUGGUAAAAGAGAAAUNUGCCUGGAGAUGAGCUCGCGUCUGAUUAGCUAGUUGGUGUGGUAAAAGCAUACCAAGGCAACGAUCAGUAGCUGGUCUGAGAGGAUGAGCAGCCACACUGGGACUGAGACACGGCCCAGACUCCUACGGGAGGCAGCAGUGGGGAAUUUUCCGCAAUGGGCGAAAGCCUGACGGAGCAAGACCGCGUGGGGGAGGANAGGCUCUAGGGUUGUAAACCCCUUUUCUUUGGGAAGAAGAAAGUGACGGUACCAAAGGAAUCAGCCUCGGCUAACUCCGUGCCAGCAGCCGCGGUAAUACGGAGGAGGCAAGCGUUAUCCGGAAUGAUUGGGCGUAAAGCGUCCGCAGGUGGCCAUGUAAGUCUGCUGUCAAAACCCAGGGCUCAACUCUGGUCAGGCAGUGGAAACUACAAAGCUAGAGUCUGGUAGGGGCAAAGGGAAUUCCCGGCGUAGCGGUGAAAUGCGUAGAUUUCGGGAARAACAUCGGUGGCGAAAGCGCUUUGCUAGACCANAACUGACACUCAGGGACNAAAGCUAGGGGAGCGAANGGGA
rnacentral:rRNA from 1 species